CCUCUACGGGGCGCAGCAGUGAGGGAUAUUGGUCAAUGGGAGAGAUCCUGAACCAGCCAAGCCGCGUGAGGGAAGACGGCCCUAUGGGUUGUAAACCUCUUUUGUCGGGGAGCAAAAGACGCCACGCGUGGCGUUCCGAGAGUACCCGAAGAAAAAGCAUCGGCUAACUCCGUGCCAGCAGCCGCGGUAAUACGGAGGAUGCGAGCGUUAUCCGGAUUUAUUGGGUUUAAAGGGUGCGCAGGCGGAAGAUCAAGUCAGCGGUAAAAUUGAGAGGCUCAACCUCUUCGAGCCGUUGAAACUGGUUU
rnacentral:rRNA from 1 species